rnacentral:rRNA from 1 species
AUUAAACGCUAGCGGCAGGCCUAACACAUGCAAGUCGAGCGAGCGGCGGACGGGUGUGUAAUGUCUGGGAAACUGCCUGAUGGAGGGGGAUAACUACUGGAAACGGUAGCUACUACCGCAUACCCUCAGAUGUGCCCCGAUGGGAUUAGCUAGUAGGUGGGGUAACGGCUCACCAAGGCGACGCUCCCUCGCUGGUCUGUGAGGAUGACCAGCCACACUGGAACUGAGACACGGUCCAGACUCCUACGGGAGGCAGCAGUGGGGAAUAUUGCACAAUGGGCGCAAGCCUGAUGCAGCCAUGCCGCGUGUGUGAAGAAGGCCUUCGGGUUGUAAAGCACUUUCAGCGGGGAGGCGUUACCCGCAGAAGAAGCACCGGCUAACUCCGUGCCAGCAGCCGCGGUAAUUC